rnacentral:rRNA from 1 species
AGAGUUUGAUCAUGGCUCAGAACGAACGCUGGCGGCAUGCCUAACACAUGCAAGUCGAACGAACCCUUCGGGGUUAGUGGCGCACGGGUGCGUAACGCGUGGGAACCUGCCUUUAGGUUCGGAAUAACUCAGAGAAAUUUGAGCUAAUACCGGAUAAUGUCUUCGGACCAAAGAUUUAUCGCCUUUAGAUGGGCCCGCGUUAGAUUAGAUAGUUGGUGGGGUAAUGGCCUACCAAGUCGACGAUCUAUAGCUGGUCUGAGAGGAUGAUCAGCCACACUGGGACUGAGACACGGCCCAGACUCCUACGGGAGGCAGCAGUGGGGAAUAUUGGACAAUGGGCGAAAGCCUGAUCCAGCAAUGCCGCGUGAGUGAUGAAGGCCUUAGGGUUGUAAAGCUCUUUUACUAGGGAUGAUAAUGACAGUACCUAGAGAAUAAGCUCCGGCUAACUCCGUGCCAGCAGCCGCGGUAAUACGGAGGGAGCUAGCGUUGUUCGGAAUUACUGGGCGUAAAGCGCACGUAGGCGGCUUACCAAGUCAGGGGUGAAAUCCCGGAGCUCAACUCCGGAACUGCCCUUGAAACUGGUAAGCUAGAAUCUUGGAGAGGCGAGUGGAAUUCCGAGUGUAGAGGUGAAAUUCGUAGAUAUUCGGAAGAACACCAGUGGCGAAGGCGACUCGCUGGACAAGUAUUGACGCUGAGGUGCGAAAGCGUGGGGAGCAAACAGG